ACGUAAUUACGGACAGGGUAGCUCAGCUGUGGUUGGUUGUGAGGUCUUGAUUGGAAGGGCUUCUAAAGAGAGACGGGAUAAAAUAAGGGUCAUUUGGCCCCAGCUGCUAUUUCUGUUCCCGUUUUCUUCUCAGCCUCUCUGAACAGGAAGCCCUUGGACUGCAAAUUGUGCUUGAUCAGGAAUACUACUUGCCCAUUCUGCUUUUGUUCUCAUCUCGGCACUGACCAAGCCAGUCCCAAACAGUAAUUUACAGCUCUGGUUGUUAUGAAAUCAAUACAGAUUCUCUCUUCAUUGAGAGAACUGUAAAACAUGGGUGACAGCUGGUGCGGUAAGCAGCUGGCGGGGAAGUGGAUCCCUUGCUGGUGUUGGAGAGUGGCCAGAGAGCAUCAGAGAAGAGAAACUUUGGGAGCAGAGCACACUUCUUCCACCUGCUGGGCUGAGGAUGCUGAUGGAGUGCCAGGCUCAGGGGUUGACCAAGUGCUGGGCUCCUGCCCUGCUACUGAGCUUGAGGGUUGUCCUGGAUCCUGAGCCACCCCAUGCCCACCUGUAGGCCAGCACCUGUGCUAUGGAGUUAACUCAUAGCAGCUGUGAGAGUUUUGGAGUAUAUCUUGGGAAGGAAAACAUCCCCUGAAUAAAUAUCAUCCCUUCUUGUUGCGUGCUGCGUAA
rnacentral:lncRNA from 1 species